UGGGGAAUUUUGCACAAUGGGGGAAACCCUGAUGCAGCGACGCCGCGUGAUUUAGAAGGCCUUCGGGUUGUAAAAAUCUUUUCUAUGGGAAGAAAAUGACGGUACCAUAGGAAUAAGGACCGGCUAAUUACGUGCCAGCAGCCGCGGUAAUACGUAAGGUCCGAGCGUUGUCCGGAAUCAUUGGGCGUAAAGGGUACGUAGGCGGGUAAGCAAGUUAGAAGUGAAAUCCUAUAGCUCAACUAUAGUAAGCUUUUAAAACUGCUCAUCUUGAGGUAUGGAAGGGAAAGUGGAAUUCCUAGUGUAGCGGUGAAAUGCGCAGAUAUUAGGAGGAAUACCGGUGGCGAAGGCGACUUUCUGGCCAUAACCUGACGCUGAGGUACGAAAGCGUGGGUAGCAAACAGG
rnacentral:rRNA from 1 species